GAUGAACGCUAGCGGCAGGCCUAAUACAUGCAAGUCGAACGGGAUCCAGAUCAAAGCUUGCUUUGGUCUGGUGAGAGUGGCGCACGGGUGCGUAACGCGUGAGCAACCUACCCUUGUCAGGGGGAUAGCCCGGCGAAAGUCGGAUUAAUACCGCAUGACAUCAUUGAGAGGCAUCUUUCGAUGAUCAAAGAUUUAUCGGACAAGGAUGGGCUCGCGUGACAUUAGCUAGUUGGUAAGGUAACGGCUUACCAAGGCUGCGAUGUCUAGGGGCUCUGAGAGGAGAAUCCCCCACACUGGUACUGCGACACGGACCAGACUCCUACGGGAGGCAGCAGUAAGGAAUAUUGGUCAAUGGACGGAAGUCUGAACCAGCCAUGCCGCGUGCAGGAAGACGGCCCUAUGGGUUGUAAACUGCUUUUAUACGGGAACAAACGUCGGUACGUGUACCGGUCUGAGUGUACCGUAAGAAUAAGGAUCGGCUAACUCCGUG
rnacentral:rRNA from 1 species